UGGGGAAUAUUGCACAAUGGGCGCAAGCCUGAUGCAGCCAUGCCGCGUGUAUGAAGAAGGCCUUCGGGUUGUAAAGUACUUUCAGUCGGGAGGAAGGUGUCAAGGUUAAUAACCUUGGCAAUUGACGUUACCGACAGAAGAAGCACCGGCUAACUCCGUGCCAGCAGCCGCGGUAAUACGGAGGGUGCAAGCGUUAAUCGGAAUUACUGGGCGUAAAGCGCACGCAGGCGGUUGAUUGAGUCAGAUGUGAAAGCCCCGGGCUUAACCCGGGAAUUGCAUCUGAAACUGGUCAGCUAGAGUCUUGUAGAGGGGGGUAGAAUUCCAUGUGUAGCGGUGAAAUGCGUAGAGAUGUGGAGGAAUACCGGUGGCGAAGGCGGCCCCCUGGACAAAGACUGACGCUCAGGUGCGAAAGCGUGGGGAGCAAACAGG
rnacentral:rRNA from 1 species